rnacentral:rRNA from 1 species
UACAGAGGGGGCAAGCGUUGUUCGGAAUUACUGGGCGUAAAGGGCGCGUAGGCGGCCCGCUAAGUCGGACGUGAAAUCCCCGAGCUCAACUCGGGAACUGCGUCCGAUACUGGUGGGCUUGAAUCCGGGAGAGGGAUGCGGAAUUCCAGGUGUAGCGGUGAAAUGCGUAGAUAUCUGGAGGAACACCGGUGGCGAAGGCGGCAUCCUGGACCGGCAUUGACGCUGAGGCGCGAAAGCUGGGGGAGCAAACGGG